UCGAAAAAGUGCCUCCAAAUUUGACUUGUUUGACCCAGUCUUAGUGUCCUGAGAACAUAGCCGAACCACUGGCUUCUCUAGUGAACUCUGGAUGAUUUGCUUCAAUGGACAGUGGCCUUCAGCAGUGACCGGAUUCCUGCCCAAUCCCCAGACUGGAUUGUACCCAGCGGGGUAAUGAAGCCAGGAGAGGAUGACCCCUGAACUCGCUUGGCUUGUCUCGGAAAUCAGAGAAAUGGAGCCCUUGAUCUCAGUGUGGGUCUGGGGCAUUGGCAUUUUCACGGACGAUACAAAAGCCACGGCGAGGGGACAGCUGGUGACGGAGCAGGCAUGGAGGCUGGGGCACCCAGCGGUGACAGGAGGACUGCGUCCCCCACCGCCACACCCUCGCAGGAACACACAGCCAGUUCCACGUGACAGUAUC